rnacentral:rRNA from 1 species
GUAGGGAAUAUUGGGCAAUGGGCGAAAGCCUGACCCAGCCACGCCGCGUGAGUGAUGAAGGCCUUCGGGUUGUAAAGCUCUGUGGGGAGGGAAGAAAAAGCGGGAGAGUAACUGCUCUCGUGUUGACGGUACCUCCUUAGCAAGCACCGGCUAACUCUGUGCCAGCAGCCGCGGUAAUACAGAGGGUGCAAACGUUGCUCGGAAUUACUGGGCGUAAAGCGCGUGUAGGCUGACAUGCAAGUCGGGUGUGAAAUCCCAGGGCUCAACCUUGGAACUGCACUCGAAGCUGCACGGCUUGAGUACUGGAGAGGGAAGCGGAAUUCCGGGUGUAGAGGUGAAAUUCGUAGAUAUCCGGAGGAACACCAGUGGCGAAGGCGGCUUCCUGGACAGUAACUGACGCUGAGACGCGAAAGCGUGGGGAGCAAACAGGAUUAGAAACCCGUGUAGUCC